AUUGAACGCUGGCGGCAGGCCUAACACAUGCAAGUCGAGCGAGCGGCGGACGGGUGAGUAAUGUAUGGGAACCUGCCUGAUGGAGGGGGAUAACUACUGGAAACGGUAGCUAAUACCGCAUACAAUCCGAUGUCCCCAGGGGGGAUUAGCUAGUAGGGGGGGUAAUGGCUCACCUAGGCGACGAUCCCUAGCUGGUCUGAGAGGAUGAACAGCCACACUGGGACUGAGACACGGCCCAGACUCCUACGGGAGGCAGCAGUGGGGAAUAUUGCACAAUGGGCGAAAGCCUGAUGCAGCCAUGCCGCGUGUGUGAAGAAGGCCUUCGGGUUGUAAAGCACUUUCAGUGGGGAGGCGUUACCUGCAGAAGAAGCACCGGCUAACUCCGUGCCAGCAGCCGCGGUAAUUC
rnacentral:rRNA from 1 species